rnacentral:sRNA from 1 species
GCUGGGUGUGGUGGUGCAUGCCUGUAAUCCCAGCAACUGGGUAGGCUGAGGCAGGAGGGUCAAAAUUUCAAAGCCAGCCUUAG